rfam:Pteropus alecto contig31650, whole genome shotgun sequence.
GUCUAUGACCAUGCCACUCUGAACGUGCCCAAUCUCAUCUGAUCUUGGAAGCUAAGUAGGGUUGGGCCUGGUUAGUACUUGGAUGGGAGACCACCUAGGAAGACCAGGUGCUGUAGGUA